UCUCCUGCUUCUGGCCGUCAUCUUCAGCAACUUCUUCUGCAUCAGCUACCAGCAGUUCCUGAAACAGAAAAGAUAUCCCAGAUAUCCUUACUUGGGGGGGGUCUUUGCCCCUUUACCAUGGCAGUCUAUUCCUGGUUAUCCUCUGGUCCGAGGUUUAUUGAAAGAAAAGAUGUC